rnacentral:rRNA from 1 species
CUGUGCCAACUCUGUGGGCCUUGCGUGUUUGCGCUAGUCUGAACAAAGCCAACUCUGGAAGCGCACGAGCUGUCUUGCUGGUUCCUGACCAGAAAGGCGCU